AACUUUCGACAACGGAUCACAAGCGUCUGUGAUAUCGCUGCAUAGAGAACGAGUCCUCCGAAACUGUGACCAAUAAUGAUUAGUUGGGUUCCGUCUGCGACAUGCUGAGGAUUUCGGCUACGUCGAUAAGCCUCGAGUCUGCCGAGGACUUCUGGCACUCCGCGAUAGCCUACGCGCUCCGCGACUAUCUUGCGUUCCCAGAAGGUAAGGUCCGCCAGUAUUCCGCCGACAAGUGAAGCGCCCCGCCAGCCGAUGUAUACACCAACCACGUGGCGUCUGUGAGCCGUCCCUGACAUCGACCGUUCUCUUAUGUCGGCUCGCUCAAGAAGACGCGCGAAACACACAACAUCAGCGUCACAAGAUCCGGCGUUGUGCUUCCAGCCAUGCGCGUACACAAUUACAAGCGCGUCCCGCUGCUCGUGCUUAAGAAAAUCAAUAAGAGGAGGCU
rnacentral:misc_RNA from 1 species